rnacentral:rRNA from 1 species
CACCAGACUCCUACGGGAGGCAGCAGUGGGGGAUAUUGGACAAUGGGGGGAACCCUGAUCCAGCGACGCCGCGUGAGUGAAGAAGUAUCUCGGUAUGUAAAGCUCUAUCAGCAGGGAAGAAGAUGACGGUACCUGACCAAGAAGCCCCGGCUAACUACGUGCCAGCAGCCGCGGUAAUACGUAGGGGGCAAGCGUUAUCCGGAUUUACUGGGUGUAAAGGGAGCGCAGACGGCAGUGCAAGUCUGGAGUGAAAGCCCGGGGCUCAACCCCGGAACUGCUCUGGAAACUGUGCGGCUAGAGUACUGGAGGGGCAGGCGGAAUUCCUAGUGUAGCGGUGAAAUGCGUAGAUAUUAGGAGGAACACCAGUGGCGAAGGCGGCCUGCUGGACAGUAACUGACGUUGAGGCUCGAAAGCGUGGGGAGCAAACAGGAUUAGAUACCCGCGUA